rfam:Canis lupus familiaris chromosome 14, whole genome shotgun sequence.
ACCUGGGUGGCUUAGUAGGUAGAGCAUGUGACUCUUGACUAUUGAUCUCAGGGUUGUGGGUUCAAGGCCCACCUUGGGCA